ACAGAGGGUGCAAGCGUUAAUCGGAAUUACUGGGCGUAAAGCGCGCGUAGGCGGUUGGGUAAGUCGAUUGUGAAAUCCCCGGGCUUAACCUGGGAAUUGCAGUCGAUACUGCCCGGCUAGAGUGUGGAAGAGGGAAGCGGAAUUUCCGGUGUAGCGGUGAAAUGCGUAGAUAUCGGAAGGAACACCAGUGGCGAAGGCGGCUUCCUGGUCCAACACUGACGCUGAGGCGCGAAAGCGUGGGUAGCGAACAGGA
rnacentral:rRNA from 1 species